rnacentral:rRNA from 1 species
UACGUAGGGUCCGAGCGUUGUCCGGAAUCAUUGGGCGUAAAGGGCUCGUAGGCGGUCUGUCGCGUCGGCUGUGAAAUCCCGAGGCUCAACCUCGGGUCUGCAGUCGAUACGGGCAAACUGGAGUGUUGCAGGGGAGACUGGAAUUCCUGGUGUAGCGGUGAAAUGCGCAGAUAUCAGGAGGAACACCGGUGGCGAAGGCAGGUCGCUGGGCAACAACUGACGCUGAGGAGCGAAAGCGUGGGGAGCGAACAGG